rnacentral:rRNA from 1 species
GACGAACGCUGGCGGCGUGCUUAACACAUGCAAGUCGAACGGAAAGGCCCUGCUUUUGUGGGGUGCUCGAGUGGCGAACGGGUGAGUAACACGUGAGUAACCUGCCCUUGACUUUGGGAUAACUUCAGGAAACUGGGGCUAAUACCGGAUAGGAGCUCCUGCUGCAUGGUGGGGGUUGGAAAGUUUCGGCGGUUGGGGAUGGACUCGCGGCUUAUCAGCUUGUUGGUGGGGUAGUGGCUUACCAAGGCUUUGACGGGUAGCCGGCCUGAGAGGGUGACCGGGGCCGUGGGGAGAGAGAGCCGGCCAAUGCUCCAGCGGGAGGCAGCAGAGGAGAAAAUCGCGGAGGGGGCGGAGGCCGGAUGCGGCAACGCCGGGUGGGGGAUGGCGGCAUGCGGCUUGGCAACCGGGGUCGCCGGCGACGAGGGGGGAGUGAGGGAAAGGGGUAAAGAAGCACGGGCUAACGACGAGCCAGAAGCAGGGGUAAGCCGCGGAAGAGCACCCGGCCGACC